rnacentral:tRNA from 1 species
CCCGUCUUAGCUCAAUCUGGCAGAGCAUCGGACUGUAGAUCCGAAUGUUGCUGGUUCAAGUCCGGCAGACGGGA